rnacentral:rRNA from 1 species
GAUGAACGCUGGCGGCGUGCUUAACACAUGCAAGUCGAACGAAGCACUUUUACAGAUUUCUUCGGAUUGAAAUUUUAGUGACUGAGUGGCGGACGGGUGAGUAACGCGUGGGUAACCUGCCUCACACAGGGGGAUAACAGUUGGAAACGGCUGCUAAUACCGCAUAAGCGCACAGUACCGCAUGGUACGGUGUGAAAAACUCCGGUGGUGUGAGGUGGACCCGCGUCUGAUUAGCUAGUUGGCAGGGCAACGGCCUACCAAGGCGACGAUCAGUAGCCGACCUGAGAGGGUGACCGGCCACAUUGGGACUGAGACACGGCCCAAACUCCUACGGGAGGCAGCAGUGGGGAAUAUUGCACAAUGGGGGAAACCCUGAUGCAGCGACGCCGCGUGAGCGAAGAAGUAUUUCGGUAUGUAAAGCUUUAUCAGCAGGGAAGAAGAAAUGACGGUACCUGACUAAGAAGCACCGGCUAAAUACGUGCCAGCCGCCGCCGUAA